AAUUUUGAGGGGUGAGCAGGAGGUACCAGACUCGAUGAUUUUCCAUCGAAAUGUCGGAAAAGUCAGGCCAGAGUACAAAAGCAAAGGAUGGAAAAACGAAGUAUGCAACACUCAGUCUGUUUAAUACUUACAAGGGAAAGUCACUGGAAACUCAGAAAACCACAGUUGCUGCACGCCAUGGAUUACAGAGUCUUGGAAAAGUUGCUAUUUCAAGGAGGAUGCCUCCCCCAGCAAACCUCCCCAGUCUCAAAGCAGAGAACAAAGGCAAUGACCCUAAUGUGAACAUUGUGCCUAAAGACGGCACAGGAUGGGCUUCAAAACAAGAACAACACGAAGAA